UGGGGAAUAUUGCACAAUGGGCGCAAGCCUGAUGCAGCCAUGCCGCGUGUAUGAAGAAGGCCUUCGGGUUGUAAAGUACUUUCAGCGGGGAGGAAGGUGUUGUGGUUAAUAACCACAGCAAUUGACGUUACCCGCAGAAGAAGCACCGGCUAACUCCGUGCCAGCAGCCGCGGUAAUACGGAGGGUGCAAGCGUUAAUCGGAAUUACUGCGCGUAAAGCGCACGCAGGCGGUCUGUCAAGUCGGAUGUGAAAUCCCCGGGCUCAACCUGGGAACUGCAUCCGAAACUGGCAGGCUUGAGUCUUGUAGAGGGGGGUAGAAUUCCAGGUGUAGCGGUGAAAUGCGUAGAGAUCUGGAGGAAUACCGGUGGCGAAGGCGGCCCCCUGGACAAAGACUGACGCUCAGGUGCGAAAGCGUGGGGAGCAAACA
rnacentral:rRNA from 1 species